UCAGGCCUAACACAUGCAAGUCGAACGCCCUCUUCGGAGGGAGUGGCAGACGGGUGAGUAACGCGUGGGAACCUACCUAUCAGUACGGAACAACUCAGGGAAACUUGUGCUAAUACCGUAUACGUCCUUCGGGAGAAAGAUUUAUCGCUGAUAGAUGGGCCCGCGUUAGAUUAGCUAGUUGGUGAGGUAACGGCUCACCAAGGCGACGAUCUAUAGCUGGUCUGAGAGGAUGAUCAGCCACACUGGAACUGAGACACGGUCCAGACUCCUACGGGAGGCAGCAGUGGGGAAUAUUGGACAAUGGGCGCAAGCCUGAUCCAGCCAUGCCGCGUGAGUGAUGAAGGCCCUAGGGUUGUAAAGCUCUUUCAACGGUGAAGAUAAUGACGGUAGCUGUAGAAGAAGCCCCGGCUAACUUCGUGCCAGCAGCCGCGGUAAUACGAAGGGGGCGAGCGUUGUUCGGAAUCACUGGGCGUAAAGCGUACGUAGGCGGAUAGAUUAGUUAGGGGUGAAAUCCCGAGGCUCAACCUCGGAACUGCCUCUAAUACUGUCUAUCUAGAGAUCGAGAGAGGUGAGUGGAAUUCCUAGUGUAGAGGUGAAAUUCGUAGAUAUUAGGAAGAACACCAGUGGCGAAGGCGGCUCACUGGCUCGAUACUGACGCUGAGGUACGAAAGCGUGGGGAGCAAACAGGAUUAGAUACCCU
rnacentral:rRNA from 1 species